AUUCCUUUCCCGCGUUCCCUAUGUUCUCUCCAAAAUCCACGUCCCAUCUCCCAUUUCGCGCGAAAUUCUCCUCUCAACCAUAACCACUACCACCACCCUCUCCCCCUCCACCCUCCCUCCAUUCUCUCUCUUUCUCUCUCACUCUGCAACGAUUUUUCUCCUGUUUCUUCACCUCCGAAUUAUCACCUUUCCUGCAAAUUGUUUUCUCUCUCUUUCUUCUUGACGCGGAAUCUGAAUUCCGCCCCGGACUCCGCCAUGGAAGAUGAAUAGA
rnacentral:misc_RNA from 1 species